AUCUACUCUGCCAGAGUUUCCUACAUGUGCCCAGGAGAGGAAUAACAGACCCAGAUCCUGUUCCACAAAGAGAUCAAUGAAUCGGAGAGCAGCGAAGUAACAAGCAACAAAAAGAAGCAUCGAAAGUGGACACCAUCAAUAAAUGCACUAAUAAAACGGAGAAGAGAGACCGAGGGCCAAGAUCAAGGAUUGUUGACUAGAGCCUGUAACAGGAAUAUAAAUUGCGAACCUUCAGAAAGAGAACAAACUAGUACUUCACGAGCUACAGUACGUCAGCCACGUGGUUAUCACUGACAGUUUGGAGGUCUGAAUUGGAAACAAACCUCAAGUCAUUGGAUCUCAGAUCCAGCCUAGGCUUAACUCACAGUGACUUACAGCACAAAGCACCAAAUGCUUAGCAUCGUUCACUUGAUGCCUUUGGGCAGGAAGGAGCUUCAAGUCUCAAAGGCGCAUGUGUUCCUUUUUGAGAAAGGCAUGACGAUAAAAAAAAAAAGUGGAACACAAGAAAAAGUGUGCUUUGGUUGAACAUAAAGUGCCAAUAGACAACUUGGCAGUUCAAACUUGGGUAGUAUGGAUGUUACGAAUGUGAAAGGCAUUAUCCUGGCAUGAACAAAACACGAGUCAGUCUGCCCCAGCUACUGCCAAUUGGCACCAGCAGCUGUAGCAGAAACUGAGAAGAGCAGACAUGCUGCACAGUAGGAUUUUACUUACGAUGCUGCUUCAGAGUAAAGCUGACCAGAAACUCAUGGACAACUGAAAUGACUUAAGAUCUGGUCCAAAUCAGUUUUGCUGUGCAUGCAGUAUCAUCACGGGUUACCAACUCAGUGAUAAUUUUAUAUGAGCUUUUUGGUUCAGUCUCAAAAUUCUGAUUUGUUAUGGAAACAACCUGGAGCUACUCUUCAAAGCUUUCAGUGGAGCCAAAUUUUCAUAACAGCAGCAUUGCCAGUUUUCUGUUCUCCAGAAUAUUAGUAUUAAUUAAAAACAUCCUACUUUUACUACAGAGAUCCCCCCAGUAUGUAUCAACAGCUUUUACUACUUUGUUGCAAGGAUUCUAAGUACGAUACCAGCAAAACGAGAUCUUGAUAAGGUAUAAAUACCAAAUAUAGGAUUUUGUUGAUUUACUAGUCUUGCAGUACCAUGAAGACAUUUGGAUAGAUAAAGCAUAAAGAUGAACACAGCAGCAAGUUGCAGUGACACUGUAAGAAUGGAAACUAGCAAUGAAGAAAUUCACUUGACAUACAACUUACUCUUAACUGUAGUAACAGUAAUUGAUCCUUAAAAAUGUCAGAAUAGCUUUCAUUUCAGUAAUUGCUAUAGCAGGUGGCACAAGACAGAAACAUGAAGCAAUGCAGCUUUUCAGAAGCAGAACUUCAAUAUUUAUAGUGUCUGCAAUUAAAUGUAUAGUUGAGGUUCAAUCCUUCAAUCUCCAACCAAAA